rnacentral:lncRNA from 1 species
UCCUGAACCCUUUCUCUGAGUGAAGCUCUCUUCUGUGACUCUGGGCCAGUGAUACUCAACUCCCAGCUGCUCAUUUGAGCCACCUGGAGAGUUGGGACAAUGGCCAUCCUCCAUUUCCACCAGAGAGCACUCUUCAAGCACUUUUAAUGUACAGCCAAGGGGUAGAUCUGCCACCCGCAUUAUUUUGCUUGGAGAGUCAUUGGCAUCUCAAGACUUCUGGGUUAUUUUCAUUGCAGGUUUGGUUGAACACAUGACAUGAUUCAGCGCAGUCAUGAGUUCACAUGACUCACACAUUAAGUGAUUUCAUGGGUUAAAGUGAUCCCAGCCAGCAAAUGCUAAUAACAGCCAUUUAUUAUUCCUUGGAUCUUCCUACUCUUUUCUUUAACAUUUGUCUUUGGCCAUUGCCUCCUUUCUGUUAACUUUUUCAUGCUUAUUAAAGUA